rnacentral:rRNA from 1 species
UACGGAGGGUGCAAGCGUUGUCCGGAAUCAUUGGGCGUAAAGCGCACGUAGGCGGCCUGAUAAGUCGGGUGUGAAAGCCCUGGGCUCAACCGUGGAGGGUCAUUGGAAACUGGGGGACUUGAGUGCAGAAGAGGAAAGCGGAAUUCCACGUGUAGCGGUGAAAUGCGUAGAGAUGUGGAGGAACACCAGUGGCGAAGGCGGCUUCUGGUCUGUAACUGACGCUGAGGCGCGAAAGCGUGGGGAGCAAACAGG